CUGAACUCUUUGACCGUUGUCUGUACCCUGACUGGACCAUUCACCAUGUCUUCCUCCAGCACAUAAAAUGCCUCAAACACUCAAUGAGACACCAGAUCCCCACCCCCCAAGAGAGACAGAGAGAUUUUGGACCGAUGUGUUAAACAUCAUCAUCAAAACAAGCACCAAAUGAGGGAAUAUCUUUUGGAAGAACGGUGUUCAUCCCUCCUGUACGAGUUCCACAGACUUUGAGAAUCUGUGAUAAGAGGGCUUGUGAUCAUUAGCGCAACUGGGAACACCCCCCAGGUGUUCCCAGGUUAUUUAAGUCUGGGCUGCAGCACAGCUCAUUCUCUGGCUGACUCUCUGGCACUCAGCCGCUGCUGCUCUAGUUCUUCCCCUCUUCCCCACAGACGCCUUUUUGAUUUGGUUAUGUUGCUUUAGUUCUUCAUCUAGGCUUUUAUGCACCAUACAACAACCCCACACACACAUCUUCCACUCAUGCACAUUACACUAUUGAUUAUACUGACAUCCAUACCCCAUAUUUUAAAUAUUUAAUUAUUUGUGGAUCUAUCUCUUGUUACUCCUGUAUCAUGGUGAGUCUCCUAUUUUGUUGGAGCUAAAGAGACGGG